GGCUGCAGUGCCCCCAGCUCACCAGAGCAAAUGCUCGGCAGGCUACCUCCGAGAGAGCGAGAGAGAAAAAAAGAUGCAUGUUUAAAAUAACACUUUGAGUUGCAUGUCCCGAGUCUCGACUAAAGCCUGUCGGAACGCUAAAA